UAUUUAUGAAGUUUAAAAUAUUAUAUUUUCAGUAUAAAGAAGAUAAUGUAAAUUAUCCAUAAAUAA
rnacentral:tRNA from 1 species